UACAGAGGUCCCGAGCGUUGUUCGGAUUUACUGGGCGUAAAGGAUGCGUAGGCGGACAUUUAAGUCAGAUGUGAAAUACCCGAGCUUAACUUGGGUGCUGCAUUUGAAACUGGGUGUCUAGAGUGCAGGAGAGGUAAGUGGAAUUCCUAGUGUAGCGGUGAAAUGCGUAGAGAUUAGGAAGAACACCAGUGGCGAAGGCGACUUACUGGACUGUAACUGACGCUGAGGCAUGAAAGCGUGGGGAGCAAACAGG
rnacentral:rRNA from 1 species